GACCAUUCUGGUGGCCUAUGUGGUUAGAGCAUCUGCUUCCAAUGUAGGAUGUUGUGGGUUCAAACCCUGGCUGUGUCA